AUGAACACAUAAUUACACACGACUAGUUCAGAAUGAAUUGUUCUUCGCGUGAACAUCCAUUUCUGUUGUACUUUAAAAAAAAUAAAAAUAAAAAUUUAUAUUGACACUCUUGAUGUAAGUCGGUUGUCCCUGCUGUUGUAUAGGAGCGGAUCGCCUUUUUGGUUGGGCUUCUCAGGAAGUCCAUGGUGAUGAUCGCCUGCGUCGUUCUGCUAUACUUUGCCACCCGGUUCCGCAACGUGAACAGGGAAAGUCUGGAGAUACUGAGGGAGCUGAAAGAGACUCACACUAAUCUUCAGCAAACCUUGAGGAAAGCAGAACGUCUUUCAGGGGCUUUAAAUGGCUGUACGAAACCCAGACAGGAGCAGUGGGGUAGAAAGUGGGAUCGAGAAGAGAAGAGCAGCAUGGUCAUUCUGCAUCCUUCUGGCGCCAUAGAGGCCACCUUGCCGUCAAUUUCUUCCCUACAAAGGAGUAAGCAUUUGUAUAUUUUCAUGGCAUCUUUCCUUGAAGGGAAAAAAAAAAAGGCAAAAUCUUUGACACACAUCAGGUUGAUAUAUUAAUUAAAUAAGUGGAUUAUUUUUGUUAAUUGUUUGUAAGGUAAACCACACAGAACGGUAUGAAGAAGCAAGGCUGAGGCUGAUUUCUGUCCAGCCCAGACUGAGGUUUCAUGCAGCCUAUCAGUGACCGUUGUGUCAGCUGAUUAUACAGAGUGAAAUGUAUCGGGGGCUUAUGCAUUUAAUCCCGUUUCACUGACACAUCUGGAACACAUCAUCAGCAGUGAUUUGCGAAAGCACACACCUUGGAACUUCUGACUCCCUUUAUGU
ensembl:lncRNA